CAACUUUCUUUUUAUACACUAUAAAAGAGUCAAAUAAUGUUUUAUUUAUUAUAUGUAAACUCAGAAAAAUAUGGUUAAAGUUUUCAUGUUUGUGUAUGUGGUGGUUUUAUUUCUCUUUAUAUUUCUAGUUGCAAGGAAUGAUGGCACUCCACGACGGUUUAUUACCUGUAUUACACGUGCUGAUUGUCCAGAUAGUUCUGAGUUUCACAAGUAUAUGUGCAUUGAAGGCAAAUGUAAACUUAUUAAAUUGAAGUAAAUCACUCAAGUAUAAAAUAAACUUGAUGCAAUAAAAAAGUUUUUAAUUAAAUCAAUAUUUCCUUGUUGAAAUCAAUCAUAAAAUAAUGACAGAAAAACUGAUGAAUAAGUUCAACAAGUAAGAAUAAAUAUCAUUUAAACCUACUAAAAUUUUAUUUUCAACAGCAAUAGUAUUUAUUUAUAUUUUUACCAACCUUGCAACUAUAGCCUUGUACACUAAAAUCUUGAAAAUCAAUUUAUUUUUUUUGUAUGUAUCAACAUGGCAUCCAAUUGAAAAAGAAAGAAAAAACAUGGCAACCAAUUAUGGCAUAGCAUAAGAUAUGGUUUAAAACAAGAAAUACUAUGGAGGUGCAACUAUGAUGUCAACUAAUACUAAUGAUGUUACUGUGAAAUACUUUUACCUAUAGGAGUUAUGUGAUAUUAUUUGGUUAAAGAAAUAUUAGUAUAUUGAUAGAUGAUUGGAACAAGGUAGAUGCUAAUGUGAAAGAAAGUAUAUGGACAAAUUUUUGUUUUUAUGAAGUUCCAAAAAGUCAUAAGCUAAAGAAAAUAUGGAUUUCUUAUGGUGGUGAAUGCUAGAGGGGAUUUAAGACAUAACUCACAUGGAAUUACAUCAAAAAGCCGAAGUCUAAUUUUGUUCAUCCAGUUGGGAUGUAAAGUUUUAUUGAUUUGAAUACUUGGGAUAAGUUUGCAUGUGUGUCAUAAUUCUUUGGAAUUCAAGGUUAGUAAGAAUUUUAUGAUGUGAUAUAGGGGUCGAAGGAAGUCUUGAGAGACGUGAAGAAACAAGGCUUGUAUACCCUUGAGACUGAGGUUGUAAGUGGAUCAGUAGAUUUUUCCUCCUCGAAACCUAUGUCGAAGAUAGAACUAUGGUACAUGAGAUUGAGGGGUGUUAGUGAAAGGGAUCUUUUCGAAAUGGGGAAACAAAAUCUUAUAGGUGGUGACAAAGUCGAAAAAUUGUACUUUUGCAAACCUUGUGUGCCUGGUAAAUCGUGUAGAGUAAAGUUUAACAAAGGCAAACAUAAAACACAUAGAUCCCUUGAUUACACCCAUGCUGAUCUUUGAGGACCUGCAAAGAAUCCUUCACACUAUUGAUUUCACUUCCAAGCUUUCUUCAUCCUUCUCUCCUUUCUUUUCUCUUCUCUUUCUCUUAUUCUUUUUCUUCUUAUUAUUUUAUAUAUUAAUAUACUUAUUUUAUCAACAAAUCAAAUUAGAAAUUCACGAAUAUAUUUGAGAAGCUAAUUAUAUUUAAAAUAAGAAUAUUUUGAUAGAAUCAUACAAACAAUUUUUUAAACUCAUUUCCUAUAGUAAAAUGAUUAACAUAUCAAAAGUCAUACAAUCGUUUAUUUUGUGCAUGACUAUAUUAUCACCUUUAUUUUUAUUAUUAUUAUUAUUAUUAUUAUUAUUAUACAAAAAUUAAUAAUAAUAAUAAUAAUAAUAACUAUUAUUAUUAUUAUUAAAACCACCCCUUUCUAUUUUCAAAGGUUGAAAGAUAGUUUAAAAAUAAAAAAUAUUAUCAUUUUAAUAAAUAUGUUAAAAGAAAAAACAAAACACAUUGAUAUGCUUAAGAGACACUAAGAUAACAAUUUUCUUAAAUAUAAAUAUUCUAUUGUUUGCAUCACAACUUUCUUUCUAUACACUAUAAAAGAGUCAAAUAAUCUUCUAGUUAUUAUAUAUAAAGAUAAAAAAAAAUAUGGUUAAAACUCUCAUCUUUAAGUAUGUUCUGAUUUUAUUUUUCUUUCUAUUUCUAGUUGCAAGGAAUGAUGGCGGCGAUCCACCACGAUUUACUACUUGUAUUACACGUGCUGAUUGUCCAGAUAGUUCUGAGUUUCACAAGUAUAUGUGCAUUGAAAACAAAUGUAAACUUAUUAGAUUGAAGUAAAUCACUCAAGUAUAAAAUAAACUUGAUGAAAUAAAAAAGUUUAUAGUUAAAUGAAUAUUGCCUUGUUGAAAUCAAUCAUAAAACAAUGACAAAAAACUGAUGAAUAAGUUCUACAAGUAAAAAUAAAUAUCAUUUGAAUCUACUAAGA